AGCGAACGCUGGCGGCAGGCCUAACACAUGCAAGUCGAACGAACCCUUCGGGGUUAGUGGCGGACGGGUGAGUAACACGUGGGAACGUGCCUUUAGGUUCGGAAUAACUCAGGGAAACUUGUGCUAAUACCGAAUGUGCCCUUCGGGGGAAAGAUUUAUCGCCUUUAGAGCGGCCCGCGUCUGAUUAGCUAGUUGGUGAGGUAAUGGCUCACCAAGGCUACGAUCAGUAGCUGGUCUGAGAGAUGACCAGCCACAUUGGGACUGAGACACGGCCCAAACUCCUACGGGAGGCAGCAGUGGGGAAUCUUGCGCAAUGGGCGAAAGCCUGACGCAGCCAUGCCGCGUGGAUGAUGAAGGUCUUAGGGUUGUAAAAUCCUUUCACCGGUGAAGAUAAUGACUGUAGCCGGAGAAGAAGCCCCGGCUAACUUCGUGCCAGCCGCCGCUGUAACAC
rnacentral:rRNA from 1 species